rnacentral:rRNA from 1 species
GUGGAUUAGAUACCCUGGUAGUCCACGCCGUAAACGAUGAGCACUAGUUGUUGGGUACGAAUGUAUUCAGUGACGCAGUUAACGCAAUAAGUGCUCCGCCUGGGGAGUACGGUGGCAACACUAAAACUCAAAGGAAUUGACGGGGACCCGCACAAGCAGCGGAGCAUGUGGUUUAAUUCGAAGCAACGCGAAAAACCUUACCAGGGCUUGACAUCCCUCUGACCGGAUCCUAACCGAUCCUUUCUUCGGACAGAGGUGACAGGUGGUGCAUGGUUGUCGUCAGCU